rnacentral:rRNA from 1 species
UGAGGAAUAUUGCACAAUGGGCGCAAGCCUGAUGCAGCCAUGCCGCGUGUGUGAAGAAGGCCUUCGGGUUGUAAAGCACUUUCAGCGGGGAGGAAGGCGAUAAGGUUAAUAACCUCAUCGAUUGACGUUACCCGCAGAAGAAGCACCGGCUAACUCCGUGCCAGCAGCCGCGGUAAUACGGAGGGUGCAAGCGUUAAUCGGAAUUACUGGGCGUAAAGCGCACGCAGGCGGUUUGUUAAGUCAGAUGUGAAAUCCCCGGGCUCAACCUGGGAACUGCAUCUGAUACUGGCAAGCUUGAGUCUCGUAGAGGGGGGUAGAAUUCCAGGUGUAGCGGUGAAAUGCGUAGAGAUCUGGAGGAAUACCGGUGGCGAAGGCGGCCCCCUGGACAAAGACUGACGCUCAGGUGCGAAAGCGUGGGGAGCAAACAGG